GAAUGGAUAAACGAAGGCUUAACUGUCUCAACUAUAGAAAUAAAAAUUGGCCUUUAGGUGAAAAGACCUAAAUGAAAUUAGAGGACAAAAAGACCCCGUAGAGCUUAGUAUUUCAACAACUUCACUUUUUAUAUUUGUUCUAUAAAAAACACUUUUGUCAAAAAUAUUUGGCUGGGGCGGCUAUGGAGCAAAAAACCUCCACAAACAACUUAAGAUUUACUUAUCUCUAUUAUAAAUGAUCCUUUUUUAGAUCAAAGAAAACAGCUACCUCGGGGAUAACAGAUUAAUCCCUUUUGAGAGUUCACAUUGACAAAGGAUUUUGAUACCUCGAUGUUGGCUUAAGGUCCCCGGAGGGUCAGCAGCAGCCCUCUA
rnacentral:rRNA from 1 species